rnacentral:rRNA from 1 species
UACGAGGGGGGCAAGCGUUGUUCGGAAUUAUUGGGCGUAAAGGGUGCGUAGGCGGUCUGAUAAGUCAUCUGUGAAAUCUAUGGGCUCAACCCAUAGUCUGCAGGCGAAACUGUCGGGCUUGAGUAUGGGAGAGGUGAGUGGAAUUUCCGGUGUAGCGGUGAAAUGCGUAGAUAUCGGAAGGAACACCUGUGGCGAAAGCGGCUCACUGGACCAUUACUGACGCUGAUGCACGAAAGCUAGAGGAGCAAACAGG